UUUAUACUUUCUCCAUUUCAUAAUUCUUGUCGAAAUAUUACAUGUAUCUAGACACUUUUUAGGAAUAGAUAUAUCCAUUUUUGGACAAAUUUGAGACAAGAAUUAUGGAACGGAGGGAGUAUUUU
rnacentral:pre_miRNA from 1 species